rnacentral:rRNA from 1 species
ACUGCUCAGUAACACGUGGACAACCUGCCCUUAGGUUGGGUAUAAACCCGGGAAACUGGGUAUAAUACCCGAUAGGUCUCGAUUGCUGGAAUGCAUCGAGAUUUAAAGCUCCGGCGCCUAAGGAUGGGUCUGCGGCCUAUCAGGUAGUAGUGGGUGUAGCGUACCUACUAGCCUACGACGGGUACGGGUUGUGAGAGCAAGAGCCCGGAGAUGGAUUCUGAGACACGAAUCCAGGCCCUACGGGGUGCAGCAGGCGCGAAAACUUUACAAUGCUGGCAACAGCGAUAAGGGAACCUCGAGUGCCAGGUUACAAAUCUGGCUGUCGAGAUGCCUAAAAAGCAUUUCAUAGCAAGGGCCGGGCAAGACCGGUGCCAGCCGCCGCGGUAACACCGGCGGCUCGAGUGGUAACCGUUAUUAUUGGGUCUAAAGGGUCUGUAGCCGGCCGGAUAAGUCUCUUGAGAAAUCUGGCAGCUUAACUGUCAGGCUUUCAGGAGAUACUGUCUGGCUCGAGGCCGGGAGAGGUGAGAGGUACUUCAGGGGUAGGGGUGAAAUCUUGUAAUCCUUGAAGGACCACCAGUGGCGAAGGCGUCUCACCAGAACGGACCUGACGGCAAGGGACGAAAGCUAGGGGCACGAACCGGAUUAGAUACCCGGGUAGUCCUAGCCGUAAACGAUACUCGCUAGGUGUCGGCCACGGUGCGACCGUUGUCGGUGCCGUAGGGAAGCCGUGAAGCGAGCCACCCGGGAAGUACGGCCGCAAGGCUGAAACUUAAAGGAAUUGGCGGGGGAGCAC